UACGUAGGGGGCAAGCGUUAUCCGGAAUUACUGGGUGUAAAGGGUGAGUAGGCGGCAUGGUAAGCCAGAUGUGAAAGCCUUGGGCUUAACCCGAGGAUUGCAUUGGAACUAUCAAGCUAGAGUACAGGAGAGGAAAGCGGAAUUCCUUGUGUAGCGGUGAAAUGCGUAGAUAUUAGGAAGAACACCAGUGGCGAAGGCAGCUUUCUGGACUGAAACUGACGCUGAGGCACGAAAGCGUGGGGAGCGAACAGG
rnacentral:rRNA from 1 species